rnacentral:rRNA from 1 species
UAACGUAGACGAAGUUACGCUAAUACCGCAUACGAUCUACGGAUGAAAGCGGGGGAUCGCAAGACCUCGCGCGAAUGGAGCGGCCGAUAUCAGAUUAGGUAGUUGGUGGGGUAAAGGCUCACCAAGCCAACGAUCUGUAGCUGGUCUGAGAGGACGACCAGCCACACUGGAACUGAGACACGGUCCAGACUCCUACGGGAGGCAGCAGUGGGGAAUUUUGGACAAUGGGCGCAAGCCUGAUCCAGCCAUUCCGCGUGCAGGAUGAAGGCCUUCGGGUUGUAAACUGCUUUGUACGGAACGAAACGGCGAGCUCUAAUACAGUUUGCUAAUGACGGUACCGUAAGAAUAAGCACCGGCUAACUACGUG